CCAGCAGCCGCGGUAAUUCCUACGGGAGGCAGCAGUGGGGAAUUUUGGACAAUGGGCGCAAGCCUGAUCCAGCCAUGCCGCGUGAGUGAAGAAGGCCUUCGGGUUGUAAAGCUCUUUCAGUUGGGAAGAAACGAUUACAACUAAUAAUUGUAAUUAAUGACGGUACCGACAGAAGAAGCGCCGGCUAACUACGUGCCAGCAGCCGCGGUAAU
rnacentral:rRNA from 1 species